UUUUCUCUUUUUGUACAUUUUGUACUUCUAAUUUUUAGUGAAGACAGCGUGAAAGAUUUGAAAUUUCAUUUAUGUAAAUUGAUGACAGGCUGUGGGAGCAUCAAGAGCUACUGGAGGAGAAUACCCUGAGAGAGUCGGUCAAUCUGUUUGCCAGGUUGGAGGAGGUGGAAUUGUAAGGGAUCCCUUGGUCCAUCAAGAGACGCUCGAGAGGGGUCAGGAAAUACCUGAAGAUGAAGUCUUCAAGAUUGCUCACACGAGGAAGGCGAAGAACGCUGAUGUCUCUAACCCCAACGUUGACUUUUUUGAUUCAUAUACUUUUGGAUUGUAAUAUUGCUAUGUUUUCUUGGAUAUGUAUAUUUUUUUUCAUGAUAGUUUUAAUUCGAAUUAGAUGUACUUUUGAAGGUGAAUUUGAUUGUAGGAAGUAGUUUAUGGAUGUUUUAACUUUACGAUGUUUAAGUGUUUGAAUGUAGAAAGUAGUUUAUGGUUGUUUAACUUUACGAUGUUCAAGUGUUU